GAUGAACGCUGGCGGCGUGCCUAAUACAUGCAAGUCGAGCGAACAGACGAGGAGCUUGCUCCUCUGACGUUAGCGGCGGACGGGUGAGUAACACGUGGAUAACCUACCUAUAAGACUGGGAUAACUUCGGGAAACCGGAGCUAAUACCGGAUAAUAUAUUGAACCGCAUGGUUCAAUAGUGAAAGACGGUUUUGCUGUCACUUAUAGAUGGAUCCGCGCCGCAUUAGCUAGUUGGUAAGGUAACGGCUUACCAAGGCAACGAUGCGUAGCCGACCUGAGAGGGUGAUCGGCCACACUGGAACUGAGACACGGUCCAGACUCCUACGGGAGGCAGCAGUAGGGAAUCUUCGGCAAUGGGCGAAAGCUUGACGGAGCAACGCCGCGUGAGUGAUGAAGGUCUUCGGAUCGUAAAACUCUGUUAUUAGGGAAGAACACAUGUGUAAGAAACUAUGCACGUCUUGACGGUACCUAAUCAGAAAGCCACGGCUAACUACGUG
rnacentral:rRNA from 1 species